ACAGAUUGUUUUCCAGAACAUUCAACAGGACAAGUGAACGCCUUAGGGACGAUGGAAACAUUUACGGAGCAGAUAUUGUUUUUUAAAUAUUCCCUCUCUCUUACCACUCCCACUCUUCCAAAUAUAUAAUGGUCAGUCCCGCCGGCCUUCGGCAAAAUUAACACAAUCCAUCAAAUAAUAUCUAUGUACUUUGAAAAAUAAGAGGCAUCUUGUUUAUGUACUUUGCUCUGUUCCAGAACAAGCCAUCUCUCCAGCCGUACCUGCUGUGACUCUACCCACUACCCCGCAGCCCGAGUCUAGCAAUAUUUUCUUGUGUCUUGUGCAUGCAGGAAGCUCAGUUAUCCGGUACACGCCUGCGGACACAAACCACUUAACUGUCUACACGAAGAAGCCGGUUUCUACUCAGAAAGAGUCUGCCUCAACGACACUGGUUGUCAGCAGAGGAUCAUACACAUCAGUAAGCAAAUAAAGUCUUUGAUCGGCAGUUAGAAGUAGGGAGAACAUGAAUACAUGACACUUUUUAUAAUAGCAAUUUCUGUUAUUCUUUGUACGACGUUUCAGAACUACUUCUUGCUCCUUCAUCAGGUGAAUGCAUAGUAAGUGCAUAGAGUAUUAAAUAUAUUUUACAAAGAUAACAACAUAAUGACGAAGCCGAGGGGAUAGGAUUAAUGUAUAAAGAUAACAUUAUUAUGCCGAAGACAAUUAGAUUAGCAGGAGAGGAUUAAUUACGUACAUUGUAGUGUAGUAGUGACACGGAUUUGGCUAUUGUCACACAAGCAAUACGGUGAUCAAGAUGUCCAUUGUGGUAGAGGGUGUGAUUACAGCACAGAGGAGUACACGCUGGGGAGGUAGAUGAGGGGGGGUAUUCGCAUGACGACGACCCCUCGAAUUUUUCCAUUCGCAGGACGACGACCGCCGGUACGCCUUUGAUGUGUGGUGUUGUUUUAGGAGGGGAUUAACUCUUUGGUUAGUGUCAAAAACUGAAAUAUGUACACGAAAACUGAAAUGUGUUCACUGAAUUGGUGAAUUCUGAUUUCAAGCUUUGGAGCCUUUGAACCAUUUCAACAACGACGGCCCUCGCACCAAUCACCACCUGAUGACACUCGAUACCCAUUGUUUAACUAGAUUGACGGAUUAAAAUAUUCGUAGGACGACGACCUCACUUUUUGCUAGUUUGUCUUCAUACGACACAGGGGGUCGUCGUCAUGAGAAUGAACCGUAGAUGAUA